rnacentral:lncRNA from 1 species
AUCAGUUGGUCAUGUUCAUCUAAACACCUGUUCAUCUUUGCACUACGGGCCAAAGAUAUUCAUCAGAAAUCAUUCAUCUUUGCACUACAGGCCAAAGACAUUCAAUAAUAUCAUCAUUUAAGACUGAGGAUGAUGAAAAAUAUUUUUAAAGAAACGAAUCCAGUGAAACAAAAUGACAAGGAUUAAGGAUUAAGGAUUCGUACUUUAUUUUAUCCAUGUCCAAAAAUACCUCAAAAAUAAUCAUAGUAGUGUAAAAUUCAAGAAUGAUCAAAACAUG